UUUUAAAACUAGAUUGUUGCUC
rnacentral:misc_RNA from 1 species